AUUGUCCUACGGGGCGCAGCAGUGAGGAAUAUUGGUCAAUGGUCGGGAGACUGAACCAGCCAAGCCGCGUGAGGGAGGAAGGUACAGAGUAUCGUAAACCUCUUUUGUCAGGGAACAAAGACUGGGACGCGUCCCCGGAUGAGUGUACCUGAAGAAAAAGCAUCGGCUAACUCCGUGCCAGCAGCCGCGGUAAUACGGAGGAUGCGAGCGUUAUCCGGAUUUAUUGGGUUUAAAGGGUGCGCAGGCGGUCUGUUAAGUCAGCGGUCAAAGCCAGGGGCUCAACCCCGGCCCGCCGUUGAAAAUGG
rnacentral:rRNA from 1 species